rnacentral:lncRNA from 1 species
GUACAAUCUGACAUUAUUAUGCAUAACAGAUAAAUAAUUAUACAUAGUGUAUGAGAAGAUAUACUAGCCUACAUUAAUAUAAAGUCAGUGUAAUAAUACACCGAUAUGCAAUACCUCACACAUUAGUAAGACAAGUGGCUUUAUUUAAUUGUUUAUGAAAAAAUGUAUCUUCUUACUGCAUCUCUUCCUAUGCAAAAUAUAAAAUGCAGUAUAUUUUGUAAGAAGUGAUAUAGCUGCGAUCGAUGUGAUUGAAUCUUUGACAAC